UGGGGAAUUUUGGACAAUGGGGGAAACCCUGAUCCAGCCAUCCCGCGUGUGCGAUGAAGGCCUUCGGGUUGUAAAGCACUUUUGGCAGGAAAGAAACGUCGCGGGUUAAUACCCCGCGGAACUGACGGUACCUGCAGAAUAAGCACCGGCUAACUACGUGCCAGCAGCCGCGGUAAUACGUAGGGUGCAAGCGUUAAUCGGAAUUACUGGGCGUAAAGCGUGCGCAGGCGGUUCGGAAAGAAAGAUGUGAAAUCCCAGAGUUUAACUUUGGAACUGCAUUUUUAACUACCGGGCUAGAGUGUGUCAGAGGGAGGUGGAAUUCCGCGUGUAGCAGUGAAAUGCGUAGAUAUGCGGAGGAACACCGAUGGCGAAGGCAGCCUCCUGGGAUAACACUGACGCUCAUGCACGAAAGCGUGGGGAGCAAACAGGAUUAGAUACCCUGGUAGUCCACGCCCUAAACGAUGUCAACUAGCUGUUGGGGUCUUCGGACCUUGGUAGCGCAGCUAACGCGUGAAGUUGACCGCCUGGGGAGUACGGUCGCAAGAUUAAAACUCAAAGGAAUU
rnacentral:rRNA from 1 species